AUUCCAAGAUUUUUUCAGGUGAUUUAGGUAUUAUUCUUAGUGAUUGGCGUUAAUUUUUCAUAGGUUUUACUCUUUUUUCUUCUUUUAAUCUAUCUGAAUCUGGGAAAAUGGAGUCUUCAAUCCAAGGUUCGAUAGAAAAAAACUUUGGAUCUGAGAAAUUAGGACCUAUUUUUGAAAUUAGAAAUAAAUCUAUCGAUGAGAUUGUAGGGACCCUCACGCUCGUCAACGCGAUUAGACCAGUCAUGAGACGACUAAACCGCUUCUGACUCGAUUAAUUAGAGACGGACGUUAAUUAUUAGGAAUUAAACUAACAACGAUCUAGAUACGGAACUAGUAUCACUAAAUGGAUCUAGAAAAGUUAUGCGGAAUAGACUACUCGAACGUGUCAUUCAGACACCGGAUGAAGAAGAUAUCACUUGAUUUGUAUGAAGGGAAAAUAAUCAUUUUACACCUAAACCGCAUGGCUUCCCUUAUCAAUUUAAUGGGUGCAUUAAUAUUUUUCUUUGGUCUUAUCAUACCUUAAACGUGUCAAAGAGAAAUCAUUUUCUCUUUUCUUUUCUCUUUCCUUCUUAUUUCUUCUUGUUUCCUCGUUUUUUCUUCUGCUCCUCCUCUCGGUUCUGCUCUGGUUGUUUUUGGGAGAUGAAAUAUAGUUAUGAGAUCGAGAUAAGAAGAGUCUGAUCAUGAAUCAGGUGCUGGUGGAAGUUUUGUGGUUGUUUGAGUUUAGGAGGAGGUUGAAUCGAGAAGCCAGUGAGUUAGGGUUUUGGUUUGUUUCUGAGUUUGUGUAGAACGAGGAUGAUAUCCGGUUGUAAUAACUGAAGAUUAAGAGGGUUGUUGAUGAAUUGAUGAGAUGAAGCAGUCCUGCUGGGAAAUCGAAAGAAAAGGGAUGAUCUAGUGGACUGCGGAUCUUGAGGUAGACAUGGCAUGUCAUCAAACCAGUUUCAGUAUUCAGAAGAGGUGGCGCGCAUGAAGAUAUAUUCGUUUCGUAGUUUGAAACUUUAGCCGAUUAAGAACGUUUAUGGAUCUUUUACAUAUAUGUAUCCUUUGUUUAUCUGUAAAACAACACAUUAAUAUAUUCAUAUUAUUUGGGAGUUUUCAUCUAUUAA